GCUGUCGUCACUUAGACUAAAAAUCAUGCAUUCCGACUUGACUGCGGCCAAUAUAGUCACCGCUUUAAAUGGCCAUUUUAAGGCCUUUACCCCCAUCCGAAUGCACUGAAAUUGCAUAUUCAUUGUGGAAAUAGUUGAAAUCUCAUGUGGAGAAAGUUUGAAAAAGAUAGGACAAAGUUGAGUUCCCUUAAAGGUUACAUUACACUAAAUCAUUGUGUAUCCCUCCGUGGUCCAUUCGAAAGUAGUGCCUAUUUCUAAAGAGUUCCUUUUCUCUUCUUGAAUAUAAGCCAUUUAACAAUGUGAGACAUGACUUUUGUGGUUAUUUGUAAUAUCCUGUAUGUGUCUGGAGUACUUUGAUGCCUUGGAUUGGAAGCUAACUUAAAAGAUGAACUUUUGAGGGUGUGUUUUCUAUUGUGUGGGGCUUUUGUCGAAAUUAGGAUUCCGAAACACGUUUUUCUACGGUGGGUUCAUUCGACAGCGAUUUACUUUCUUAGAAGUUGCGAGACGGUAUGUUUUUGAUUGCAAUUAUUGGAAGAUGACAGAUCCAUCUUUAAAAUGAUACCAGGUUCGGAAAAAUUGAUACGUCGGAAAGGCAAGAAAAAUGCUGUGAAAGUUGUCAGUUUAUAAUGGGACCCUAUGGGAAUCGGAAUUAGUGUAAUAUAACCUUAAAAAAGCACAUUUACUGCAAUGUCAAGGUCACAUGGAUUCGUCUGCAAGCGAGACAAGUAGAAAAUGAAUUUUAAUGAAUGUUUUGAUGAUUUGGGUGCUAAAAUAGAUGAGAGGUGUCAAUAUUUUGGUCCAAAUGGAUGUUUUAGGUGGUUUUAGACGGUUCCGGAUGGGUGGGGGACCUGGUAUGGACAAGUAAGGGUAACAUUUCCAACAAAUCUUAAAUGUAAAUAUUAUUAUGUCCAUAGAUUGAAGUUUCAGGUGGAGAGCAAGAUGAAAAAUAUGCAAAAUUACAUGCAUGCAACCCAUUUAUGCCAUUUUUCUCUUUGUUUGUAGGCCUGACCGUUUGUCCUUGAGCCGUAGAUGGUCAACAAUCCGCUAGCUGUCUUGCUCUGACUGGUGCACUGGACAUGAUUUCAAUAGUCAGCCAGACCAUGAUUGAGCUUAAGGAUUGUGCUGCGGAUGCAGCCUGUGCAGUUCCGGGAGAAAGUCACUGUCUCGGGCAAUGCGGUCUGGUAUCAGGUCUGGAUGAUCCUUGCCUGACUGCGGGUUUGUGUACACCUCAAUCCGACUCUGUGUCCUGAACAGAGGCCGCAGUGGUGCAGCGCUUGUGGACGAUCCAUCAACAUCCUGAAAGGUCAACACUACACCAAGCUGGGAAAAUUGAUCCUGAUAGUCAUCCCCAGGUAGUGGAAUGAAUGUUCACUGAACUACAGAGGAAUCACAUCCAAAUGACUUUCCUGCCACGACAUUAGUGUGGCCACUCGCGUAGGAAUUCCUUAGCAAACAUGCUCUUUUGCAUGGUGACUGUGGACAUUUUUGCAAAACUUACGCUUUCAACACUGGAUUUUAAAGAGAAUACUUAAUAAAAUGUCGCUAACAGGACUUAUUUAUAUGAGAGAGACUAUCUGGAUGCGCAUUAAGUGUCACUUUGUGUCGUAAGCUGUUGAAGGAGCGAUUUGCGCCUUUUUAAGUGUUAAUUUUGGGUAGCCGGCUUGUAUCAGCUUGAAAGCUGAAAAUUAUGCCUCUCAUCAUAAUAGCAUUAAUUUUUGUAAUUGCAGUGUGUAUGUUUAGAUUGUAAGUGAAGCUUUUAAUAAUAAUUUUCUUAAAAAACAUGAUUUUAUAUGCUGUCAGUGAGUUUUUUAUUGAAAAAAGUGCUUAAAAUUUUAAAAAAGUCUCCUAUUUCAUCAAGAAAAGUACACUGAUUCACAAUCAAUACAUUUAUAUGGGCCUUUUGCUGAUAUAUUGGUGAAUUUCGCAUGCAAUGAUACCAGUUUUUGCCAUGAAAGUUACGCGUAACAAUAAUUGGAGACGCAAAAUCAGCUGUCGUCACUUAGACUAAAAAUCAUGCAUUCCGACUUGACUGCGGCCAAUAUAGUCACCGCUUUAAAUGGCCAUUUUAAGGCCUUUACCCCCAUCCGAAUGCACUGAAAUUGCAUAUUCAUUGUGGAAAUAGUUGAAAUCUCAUGUGGAGAAAGUUUGAAAAAGAUAGGACAAAGUUGAGUUCCCUUAAAGGUUACAUUACACUAAAUCAUUGUGUAUCCCUCCGUGGUCCAUUCGAAAGUAGUGCCUAUUUCUAAAGAGUUCCUUUUCUCUUCUUGAAUAUAAGCCAUUUAACAAUGUGAGACAUGACUUUUGUGGUUAUUUGUAAUAUCCUGUAUGUGUCUGGAGUACUUUGAUGCCUUGGAUUGGAAGCUAACUUAAAAGAUGAACUUUUGAGGGUGUGUUUUCUAUUGUGUGGGGCUUUUGUCGAAAUUAGGAUUCCGAAACACGUUUUUCUACGGUGGGUUCAUUCGACAGCGAUUUACUUUCUUAGAAGUUGCGAGACGGUAUGUUUUUGAUUGCAAUUAUUGGAAGAUGACAGAUCCAUCUUUAAAAUGAUACCAGGUUCGGAAAAAUUGAUACGUCGGAAAGGCAAGAAAAAUGCUGUGAAAGUUGUCAGUUUUAUAAUGGGACCCUAUGGGAAUCGGAAUUAGUGUAAUAUAACCUUAAACCGUUCCAUAAUUUAGUAAUUACCCAAUUAUCUCCCCUGAAUACUCUCCGCGUCCGCCAUUACACUACUGCCAAACAACCGGUAACAUAUAUAAGAGAGCACCGAUUAUUCAACGGGUGAAUUUCUUUCUUUUUGUAAAACUUUUUUGUUUGUCAUGCAAAUUGUAUGAAAUAAAGUUUUUCUGCUAGAGGA